CGACUGUUUACUAAAAACACAACUAUCUGCAAUUAUGAAAAUAAUAGUAUAGGUAGUGAGAUUUGCCCAAUGCCAUAUUAAUAAGUAAUAAUAAUAGGUAACUGUUUCUUUACAAAAAAUUGGUUAAUAGCGGUCUUAACUAUGAGGAUCCUAAGGUAGCAAAAUAAAUUGGCCAUUAAAUGUGGUCCAGUAUCAAUAAUUUAACGAUGGCUUCACUGUCUCUACAACUUGCUCAGUGAAAUUGAAUUACCCGUGCAGAUGCGGGUUACCUCAAAGAGGACGGGAAGACCCUAUGCAGCUUCUACUG
rnacentral:rRNA from 1 species